UACGGGGGGGCAAGCGUUGUUCGGAAUUACUGGGCGUAAAGGGCUCGUAGGUGGCCAACUAAGUCAGACGUGAAAUCCCUCGGCUUAACCGGGGAACUGCGUCUGAUACUGGAUGGCUUGAGUUCGGGAGAGGGAUGCAGAAUUCCAGGUGUAGCGGUGAAAUGCGUAGAUAUCGGGAGGAACACCAAUUGCGAAGGCAGCUCGCUGGACGUCACUGACGCUGAGACGCGAAGCGUGGGAGCAACAGG
rnacentral:rRNA from 1 species